rnacentral:rRNA from 1 species
UACGUAGGCAGCGAGCGUUGUUCGGAGUUACUGGGCGUAAAGCGUGCGUAGGCGGUGGACCAAGUCUGGUGUGAAAUCUCCCGGCUCAACCGGGAGGGUGCGCCGGAAACUGGUUCGCUGGAGUGCGGGAGAGGCAAGCGGAAUUCCAGGUGUAGCGGUGAAAUGCGUAGAUAUCUGGAGGAACACCCGUGGUGCAGACGGCUUGCUGGACCGUGACUGACGCUGAGGCACGAAAGCGUGGGUAGCAAAC